AACACGUAAAGAACCUACCUUAUAGACAGGGACAACUAUUGGAAACGAUAGCUAAUACCUGAUAAGAAAGAAACUCGCAUGAAAGAAGUUCGAAAGUCGGAGCAAUCUGACACUAUAAGAUGGCUUUGCGGUGCAUUAGCUAGUUGGUAGGGUAAAAGCCUACCAAGGCGACGAUGCAUAGCCGACCUGAGAGGGUGAUCGGCCACAUUGGGACUGAGACACGGCCCAGACUCCUACGGGAGGCAGCAGCG
rnacentral:rRNA from 1 species